GCCUCAUUCCUCUUCUUCGCUUACGCCGCUUCCUUUUGUCUUUCAUAUUUUGGUUUGGUUGGAAGUCUAAAUGCAGAAGCUCUUCUCUCACAGUAAGAAGAGAUCCAGCAAAUGCAUGCAUCAAUGGCGGCUGCUGAUCAAAUAAAGAUUUUAUCUUUCACAGCAAAAACAUUACAUAAUCAUCAAAAAAUGAAGGACUUCCUAGAAGCUCCCGUCAAAGGAAGCGAACAAAUAUUAUUGAUGAUUCUAACGAUUCAGUUAUUCUCCCUAGGAAACCAGGGAGACCAAAAAAAGAAAAGUGAUUCAAUUGAUAAUAAUGUGAAUAGUUUUGCUGAUCGGCUUCGUGAAAGAUCGAGUACAAAGAAGCCAACUUAUAUUCUUGAUGAGUUAGAAGAAGAUUUAGAUAUCAUCACAGCAAACAUGGGAACCCUACAGAAAAUACUUCAAAAUUGAAAGAAGUAACACUAAAAGAAGAGAUCUGGGAAAUGUAUACAAGUAUGUUAUCUCAAUGCACAAAAAAUCGAGGGAUGCUGAUGCUAAUCAAAUGAACGAUGUCAUCUUUCACAGCAAAAACAUUACACUGUCACGAGUACUCUCGAAGAGUUAUACAAAAAGUUAAAGAAUAUGUAAAUACAUCAUCGAGAGAUCAUAAAACAUGUUCAAGCUGCUCUUUUUUAAUUGUUCGAGUGUCUAUUACUUUUAUGUAAUUUUUUACUAAAUUUUUCUUAUGUUUUUGUUUCAUUUUAAUAUGUUUGAAGAGAACAAAUGAUAUUAUUUGAGAGUA